CUCUCCGCCUCUCGACAGCCCUCGAGGUCAGGGCGCUCCCCGGCGCCCCCUCCCCUGGCCUCUCGCCUCCUGUUCCCUACUCCUACCCCAUUUUAGGAUGCCCCUCUUCCAGCUUUUUUCCAUCGCCCUCCCCCCCUACACACACACACACACACACACACACACACACACACACACACAACCCCAGGUGAAGGCAAAUGCAAUUCCCGCCAAAUGUAACUUGCGGCUGGGCUGGCAGAAGCCCUGUUCCCAGAUGCCCCGGGUGCUGGACUUGGAGAUCUCUGAAAAUGUAUCUGGUCAAUUUCCUGCCUAUAUUCAACUCUCCCUCUGACCAGAAGUACUUCUCUAGCCGGAAUUUUCUCAGCGUUUUAGCCUCACCCAAAGCAGUUCGGGCGCCUCCUGAAUACAUGCGGCCCCUGGGUUGGGCAGGAAACUGGCAACUCCAGAAAGAAGAGGUGGGGCUGUUCAGAAGAGCUAAUCCCUAGUGCCGCAGGGCAAGCCUGACCCGAUCAGGAAUGCGGCGCAUCUGAAGCCCUGUUCAGUCACAAACAUCCCUCUAAACCAGCCUUGCCCCCACCCCCAUCAUCAGCACCCCUACCUAGUCCAAACUGACUUUCUUGCACCUUGGAUCUUGGUCUUGGAGCUGGAGGAUCCUAGAGUCUCAGGAGGAAGGCGAAAAUGGGGGCGAUAUAUCAGGAAA
rnacentral:lncRNA from 1 species